AUAAGAGGGCUGGGGCCAGAAGCUGAACACAUAGAGAGUCUCUCUCUAGUUGUUGAGAGGGAUGGGCCUGGCUGCUGGGAGCUGAGCAGGGUACCUAAAGUGGAGCAGGGCUGGGGAAAGGCCAGAAGAGCUGGGGAGCUUUGUCCUGGAAAACCCCCAGGCUGCAGGCCUUGUUAAAGGCCAAGAAGGGUACUGGGGUUGCAGAUGAGCAGCCCAAGGGUAGGCAGAGGCAGCAGGUCUAAACCCUCCUUGCCGAUCAUGAGUGGCAAUUAUAUUGCAAUUCACCUCAGUGAGCGGGGGCUAGAUGGUGACUGGCAGUAGCCAAAGACAGAGGCGAGGUGGGGAUAAGGGGUUGGUGGUUCCCUGUGGAGGGGAGACCCAGCGAGACUGCGGGGUACUGUAUGGGGCGGAACCCUGAGGUAAGGGGCACCAGGGCCAGCGGCAAGCAGGACACCGACCUGCAGAGGGCGCUCCUGAGUGGAAAGAGCUAAUUCCCUGGAUGACCAUCAGGAGGUGCUGUCGGAUCCAUCUACAAGAGUUUUGGAAAUAACCAGUGCAAGAUCUACCUCCAGUUUCUGAUGCUGUGCACUGUUCAUUUCUAGGUUUCAAAACAGCAAUAGUGUGGAAGAGGGGAAGAAGAUUUUUAAUGCUGAAAAUGUUGGGCAGGUGGGAAGGCUG